rnacentral:rRNA from 1 species
AACGCUGGCGGGAUGCUUUACACAUGCAAAGUCGGUAAACGGCAGCACGGACUUCGGUCUGGUGGCGAGUGGCGAACGGGUGAGUACGUAUCAGGAACGCCUAGUAGCGGGGAUAACUACGCGAAAGCGUAGCGCUAAUACCGCAUACGGCUUUCGGGGAAAGCGGGGACCUUUCUCGCCUGCACUAUUAGAGGUCAUAUCGGAUUACAUAGUUGGUGGGGGCAACGGUCACCAUAUGACGAUCCAGCUGGUUUGAGACGACCAGCCACACUGGGAUCGAGACACGGCCCAGACUCCUACGGGAGGCAGCAGUGGGGAAUUUUGGACAAUGGGGAAACUCCUGAUCCAGCCAUCCUGCGUGUGCGAUAAGGCCUCGCUAAAGCACUGGCAGGAAAGAAACGGCACGGGAUAAUACUCCGUGCAACUGACGGUACCUGCAGAAUAAGCACCGGCUAACUACGUGCCAGCAGCCGCGGUAAUAUAGGUGCGGCGUUGGGAUCAAUCACAUGCAGCGUGCGCAGGCGGUUCGGAAAGAAAGAUGAAAUCCGUUUAACUUUGGAACUGUUACUUAACCAAUGAGCAGAGUGUCAGAGGGAGGUGGAAUUCCGCGUAGCAUGGAAUGGUGUAGAUAUGCGGGAGAACACCGAUGGCGAAGGCAGCCUCCGGGAUAACACUGACGCUCAUGCACGAAAGCGUGGGGGAGCAAACAGGAUUAGAUACCCUGGUAGUCCACGCCCUAAACGAUGUCAACUAGCUGUUGGGGCCUUCGGCCCAAAGUGCAGCUAACGCGGUGAAGUUGACCGCCUGGGAGUACGGUCGCAAGAUUAAACCUAAAGGAAUUGACGGGACCCGCACAAGCAGUGGAUGACGUGGAUUAAUCUGAUGCAACGCGAAAACCUUACCUACCCUUGACAUGUCUGGAAUCCCGAAGAGAUUUGGAGUAGUUUGCAAGAGAACCGGAACACAGGUGCUGUAUUGUCACUGAAAUGAGAUGUUGGGUUAAGUCCCGGUAACGAGCUACAACCUUGUCAUUAGUUGCUACAGGUGGCGCACUGAAUGAGACUGCCGGUGACAAACCGGAGGAAGGUGGGGAUGACGUCAAGUCCUCAUGGCCCUUAUGGGGGCUUCACGCGUCAUACAAUGGUCGGGACAGAGGGUCGCCAACCCGCGAGGGGGAGCCAAUCCAGAAACGAUCGUAGUCCGACUGCAGUCUGCAACUCGACUGCGUGAAGCUGGAAUCGCUAGUAAUCGCGGAUCAUACGUCGCGUGAAUACGUUCCCGGGUCUCUCACACCGCCCGUCACACCAUGGGAGUGGGGUCACCAGGGCGUAGUUGGCCUAACCGUAGUGAGGGCGAUUACCACGGUAGGAUUCAUGACUGGGGUGAAGUCGGCCAAGGCA